rnacentral:rRNA from 1 species
AGAGAGAGACAUGGCGCGCAUAUCAAUAAGCGGAGGAAAAGAAACUAACAAGGAUUCCCCUAGUAACGGCGAGUGAAGCGGAGAAAGAGCUCAAAUUUGAAAUCUUAAAGGGUUUCCCUUUACGAAUUGUAGUUUAAAGAAGUGUUUUCUGUUGAGGUUUUGGUAAAAGUUCUUUGGAAUAGGACAUCAUAGAGGGUGAGAAUCCCGUAUUUGACCUUUACUUUCAACUUUGUGAUACACUUUCAAAGAGUCGGAUUGUUUGGGAAUGCAGUCCAAAAUGGGUGGUAAAUUUCAUCUAAAGCUAAAUAUUGGCGAGAGACCGAUAGCGAACAAGUACCGUGAGGGAAAGAUGAAAAGAACUUUGAAAAGAGAGUUAAACAGUACGUGAAAUUGUCAAAAGGGAAGCGUUUGACACCAGUGUUGUUUUUCUGAAAAUCAAUUAAAGAACUGUUUAUGCUAAGCUGUUUAGACUUUAUCAGCUAUCUGUUUAGUUUUGAGCUUUUCUUUAAUGCACUUUUCAGUUAACAAGUCAACAUCAAUUUCUUUUGCUGUAAAAAAGCUUGAGGAAGGUGGCUUGAGAUUCGUCUUAAGUGUUUAUAGCCUCUUGCCUAUGCAGUCGGAGAGAUUGAGGUCUGCAGCGUAGAUCCUUCGGGGCUAAAUGCAUUUGUGCUAAGUUAUAGCAUUUUAUAGACAACUUGUUGACUAUGAUUUGUCUUGUAGCUUACUCGCUUAUGUUAUUUUACCUACGCUUAGGAUGUUGACGCAUGAGAUAUACGC